AGAGCGAACGCUGGCGGCAGGCCUAAUACAUGCAAGUCGAACGGAUCCUUCGGGAUUAGUGGCGGACGGGUGAGUAACACGUGGGAACGUACCCUUUGGUUCGGAACAACUCAGGGAAACUUGAGCUAAUACCGAAUGUGCCCUUCGGGGAAAAGAUUUAUCGCCAUUGGAGCGGCCCGCGUCUGAUUAGCUAGUUGGUAGGGUAAAGGCCUACCAAGGCUACGAUCAGUAGCUGGUCUGAGAGGAUGAUCAGCCACACUGGGACUGAGACACGGCCCAGACUCCUACGGGAGGCAGCAGUAGGGAAUCUUGCGCAAUGGGCGAAAGCCUGACGCAGCCAUGCCGCGUGAAUGAUGAAGGUCUUAGGAUUGUAAAAUUCUUUCAGCGGGACGAUAAUGACGGUACCCGCAGAAGAACGCCCGGCUAACUUCGUGCCAGCAGCCGC
rnacentral:rRNA from 1 species